GUUGGAUGCUGUUUUGCCGGGGCAAACUCGGGAAGGAACAUUUUGUUCAAGUGGACAAGGGAGUGAAAGGCUAAGGCGGACUCAUAAAGCAACGUUUCACUGAGGCAGACUCAGGAGAGAGGAUGUUCUGCUAAAGCAAGCACACGAAAGAGCACGUGAUGAAAGAUUCUUCGCUAACAACAUGCAUGUGUCGGUCCACCUAACAUUGCGUAGGUCGUGUCACAGCUGUUGCUAAUCUGACUCUACCAAGCUCUUCUGGUGUGUUCAUGAAGUGUCUGUGGAUCGGGAGGCUGCUGCCUGCUGUCCUGUGAACUGAACUGCCGAUUUCCAGACAACCAGACGGGAGUUGCUCCUAAGAACUUUUCUAAAGAGGUGCAACUCUUUCUUUCCCACUACCUCUGGUGGGUGGUGUGGGCUACAAGGGAGGUUAAAGCGUUUAAGAAACACCAUUAAAUAAGGUUUGAAAAGACUGAACACCAAACACCAAACAAAAACUAACAAUAAUAACCCAAACCCUAAGGGGCUGGGGAGAUAUUCUAAUCAGCCUGCAAACAUGAGGUUGUGGUCUAGCUCUGGAACCUGGGCUAAAAAGCUGUGAUUGACUGUAUAGGCGUAUAAUGUCAGAGCUAGGGAGGUAGCCAGGUAGAGUCCUGGAGCAGCCACCAGGCAAGAGGUUCCACCGAAAAGGAGAAAACCUUUACAUUUGAGAGGAUUAGUUUCUAGAAUAUAUAAUGAACUAAAAAAAAUUAAACACUAAGAAAACAUACAAUUUGAAAAUGGGUUACAGAAUGAAAUAUAAUGUUCUCAAAAGAAGAGAGAAAAAAGGCUAGGGACAUUUUUAAAAUGUUCAGUAUCCUUAGGCAUUUUGGAAAUGCAGACUAAAACCACUUUAAAAUUCCGUCUGGGGCUGGAGAGAUGGCUCGGUUAAGAACACUUGCUGCUCUUUUUUUUUUUUUCUUUCCUUUUUUUUUUUUUUCCGGAGCUGGGGACCGAACCCAGGGCCUUGCGC
rnacentral:lncRNA from 1 species